GCUUCCAUAGCAUAGUUUGGUUAAUGCCUCGUGCUUAUAACGCGAAGAUCGUGAGUUCGAUCCUCACUGGAAGCA
rnacentral:tRNA from 1 species